rnacentral:rRNA from 1 species
GAUGAACGCUGGCGGCGUGCCUAAUACAUGCAAGUCGAGCGAACGGACGAGAAGCUUGCUUCUCUGAUGUUAGCGGCGGACGGGUGAGUAACACGUGGAUAACCUACCUAUAAGACUGGGAUAACUUCGGGAAACCGGAGCUAAUACCGGAUAAUAUUUUGAACCGCAUGGUUCAAAAGUGAAAGACGGUCUUGCUGUCACUUAUAGAUGGAUCCGCGCUGCAUUAGCUAGUUGGUAAGGUAACGGCUUACCAAGGCAACGAUGCAUAGCCGACCUGAGAGGGUGAUCGGCCCCACUGGACCUGAGACACGGUCCAGACUCCUCCGGGAGGCAGCAGUAGGGAAUCUUGCGCAAUGGGCGAAAGCCUGCCGGAGCAACGCCGCGUGAGUGAUGAAGGUCUUCGGAUCGUAAAACUCUGUUAUUAGGGAAGAACAUAUGUGUAAGUAACUGUGCACAUCUUGACGGUACCUAAUCAGAAAGCCACGGCUAACUACGUG